rnacentral:rRNA from 1 species
ACGUGAUCUGAGUUCAGACCGGAGUAAUCCAGGUCAGUUUCUAUCUAUAAAAGAGUUUUUUCUAGUACGAAAGGACCGAAAAAACAUGGCCCAUACUUUAUGCAAGCCAUAAUUACUAACUUAUGACCAAAUCUUAAUAAGUACCUAAUCCACCACUAAACUCAAAAAAAGAGUA